GACGAACGCUGGCGGCGUGCCUAAUACAUGCAAGUUGAGCGCUGAAGGUUGGUACUUGUACCGACUGGAUGAGCAGCGAACGGGUGAGUAACGCGUGGGGAAUCUGCCUUUGAGCGGGGGACAACAUUUGGAAACGAAUGCUAAUACCGCAUAAAAACUUUAAACACAAGUUUUAAGUUUGAAAGAUGCAAUUGCAUCACUCAAAGAUGAUCCCGCGUUGUAUUAGCUAGUUGGUGAGGUAAAGGCUCACCAAGGCGAUGAUACAUAGCCGACCUGAGAGGGUGAUCGGCCACAUUGGGACUGAGACCCGGCCCAAACUCCUACGGGAGGCAGCAGUAGGGCAUCUUCGGCAAUGGACGGAAGUCUGACCGAGCAACGCCGCGUGAGUGAAGAAGGUUUUCGGAUCGUAAAACUCUGUUGGUAGAGAAGAACGUUGGUGAGAGUGGAAAGCUCAUCAAGUGACGGUAACUACCCAGAAAGGGACGGCUAACUACGUG
rnacentral:rRNA from 1 species